rnacentral:snoRNA from 1 species
GGGCCGAUGAUGAUAUCAGUCACCAAAUACCAUCUUUCGGGACUGAAUGACUCGAAUGAGUCUUGCUGACAAUUUUCUGCAAUUCUGAGGCCU